rnacentral:rRNA from 1 species
UACGGGGGGGGCAAGCGUUGUUCGGAAUUAUUGGGCGUAAAGGGUGCGUAGGCGGUUCCGCAAGUCCUGUGUGAAAUCUUCGGGCUCAACUCGAAGUCUGCACGGGAAACUGCGGGGCUUGAGUGUGGGAGAGGUGAGUGGAAUUCCCGGUGUAGCGGUGAAAUGCGCAGAUAUCGGGAGGAACACCAAUGGCGAAGGCAGCUCGCUGGGACGUUACUGACGCUGAGACGCGAAAGCGUGGGGAGCAAACAGG